GUCGCCUUUACGGCAGCAGCACGCAACAUCACUCUGACCACCACCACCAUCACCACCACCACCGCCACCACCAUCAGCAGCAACCGCUACUAACAACUGCUGUUGUUACCGCUGCUGCUGCUGCUGCUGCUGUCGGAUGCCUCUGCCGGUACCACCACCACCAUCACCACCAUCACCACCACCACCAGCAUCACUAUAGCACAACUACUACCACCACCACCACAAUCACUACUACUACUAUUAUUGUUACUACAACUACUACUACUAUUACUACAACUACUACUACUACUACUACUACUACCAGCAAGCACCGAGCAUUAAGCUAUCGCCGCGCACCGCUGUCUCUGUUAUUUACUACAACACAUGGAGUACCGCCGGAAUCCAUGCAGGCAGUUCUAAUGAGAGCGAGACACUAUGGCGUGCCUUUCGGACUGGAUAUUACGCUACGGCUGUUUUCUAUGGAUUUUUACCUGGUUGUCGAUGGACACACACGCCAAACGAACGCAAACCU
rnacentral:lncRNA from 1 species